CCGCUGCGAGUCCACUUUGGCCGUCAGAGUCGCUCAGCGCCCCUUCAUCCUCGUCUUCCCCGACCAUCCUGAAAUAGAAGCAGCCGUGAAACGUUGACAGCAGGAAUAAAAGGGGGGAGAGAAAGGGAUCCGAGGGUCAAAUGAGGGCAGGAAGGAGAACCACCUAAAUCAAGAGACAUCAACACAGCAGGAAGUUUGGUGAAGGAGAAGACAUUGAAACUGGACCAGUGAGCAAAAGCCGCAAAUCUCCAAAGAUUCCUCCAGGGAGGAGAUCGACCAAGAUACAAUCUGGGACUAGAUGUGGCCCACUUCUCACUUGGGCUGUCGUGCUUUAUUACUAACAAAUUUCAGGAUGUGACACUAAAGCUAAAAAUCAGAGGAGGGACUUUCAGAAUAGUAGAAAAGUUGUUUUUGUGAGGUUUUCCAUAUUUUUUUUAAAAAAAAAGCCACAAGGGGUGUUUGAAAAGCACACAAAAACCAACUCUACAUAAACAUCAUCAUCCCUGACCCUGUUUAUAGAAAAGGUCAGGUGUCACGGGAGACGGGAAGGCAGUGGGAGGUUGAACAGAGAUGCCAAAUCUACCGCCUGCUGCUGAAAAACCUGCAACACCAGAUACAGACAGUCACGAUGACAAAAGCAGUUCAAGAAAUCUCUUUUUAAACAAGCCAAGAGGAGGACAGAACAUCUUUCCUAACAGCAACUGGCUCAACAUUUACAGCUUUGUUUGUUUUGCAUUUAAAAAGGCAGAAACACAAAA